AAGAUCCCUUAGAGUCGGCACCAGAUCCUCCACAGGAAGCCGAAGACGAGGUCCCAACAAAGCUCGUUGGCUACUUCUUCCUGGCGUGGUUCAUACUCUCUGUUGUGUUCUCGGUGACCCUCAACAGAUGAGGGACAUCUCGCCCCAUG